GCAGCGACGCCGCGUGAGGGAUGAAGGCCUUCGGGUUGUAAACCUCUUUCCGCAGGGACGAAGCGUGAGUGACGGUACCUGCAGAAGAAGCACCGGCUAACUACGUGCCAGCAGCCGCGGUAAUACGUAGGGUGCGAGCGUUGUCCGGAAUUACUGGGCGUAAAGAGUUCGUAGGCGGUUUGUCGCGUCGUUUGUGAAAACCCGGGGCUCAACUUCGGGCUUGCAGGCGAUACGGGCAGACUUGAGUGUUUCAGGGGAGACUGGAAUUCCUGGUGUAGCGGUGAAAUGCGCAGAUAUCAGGAGGAACACCGGUGGCGAAGGCGGGUCUCUGGGAAACAACUGACGCUGAGGAACGAAAGCGUGGGUAGCAAACAGGAUUAGAUACCCUGGUAGUCCACGCCGUAAACGGUGGGCGCUAGGUGUGGGUUCCUUCCACGGGAUCUGUGCCGUAGCUAACGCAUUAAGCGCCCCGCCUGGGGAGUACGGCCGCAAGGCUAAAACUCAAAGGAAUUGACGGGGGCCCGCACAAGCGGCGGAGCAUGUGGAUUAAUUCGAUGCAACGCGAAGAACCUUACCUGGGUUUGACAUACACC
rnacentral:rRNA from 1 species